rnacentral:rRNA from 1 species
GGCCAGACUCCUACGGGAGGCAGCAGUGGGGAAUAUUGCACAAUGGGGGAAACCCUGAUGCAGCGACGCCGCGUGAGCGAUGAAGUAUUUCGGUAUGUAAAGCUCUAUCAGCAGGGAAGAAGAUGACGGUACCUGACUAAGAAGCCCUGGCUAACUACGUGCCAGCAGCCGCGGUAAUACGUAGGGGGCAAGCGUUAUCCGGAUUUACUGGGUGUAAAGGGGGCGCAGACGGCGAUGCAAGCCAGGAGUGAAAGCCCGGGGCCCAACCCCGGGACUGCUCUUGGAACUGCGUGGCUGGAGUGCAGGAGGGGCAGGCGGAAUUCCUGGUGUAGCGGUGAAAUGCGUAGAUAUCAGGAGGAACACCGGUGGCGAAGGCGGCCUGCUGGACUGCAACUGACGUUGAGGCCCGAAAGCGUGGAGAGCGAACAGGAUUAGAUACCCCAGUA